rnacentral:rRNA from 1 species
GACGAACGCUGGCGGCGUGCUCAACACAUGCAAGUCGAACGAAGAGCGAUGGAAGCUUGCUUCUAUCAAUCUUAGUGGCGAACGGGUGAGUAACGCGUAAUCAACCUGCCCUUCAGAGGGGGACAACAGUUGGAAACGACUGCUAAUACCGCAUACGAUCUGACCUCGGCAUCGAGGAUAGAUGAAAGGUGGCCUCUACAUGUAAGCUAUCACUGAAGGAGGGGAUUGCGUCUGAUUAGCUAGUUGGAGGGGUAACGGCCCACCAAGGCGAUGAUCAGUAGCCGGUCUGAGAGGAUGAACGGCCACAUUGGGACUGAGACACGGCCCAGACUCCUACGGGAGGCAGCAGUGGGGAAUCUUCCGCAAUGGACGAAAGUCUGACGGAGCAACGCCGCGUGAGUGAUGACGGCCUUCGGGUUGUAAAGCUCUGUUAAUCGGGACGAAAGGCCUUUUUGCGAAUAGUGAGAAGGAUUGACGGUACCGGAAUAGAAAGCCACGGCUAACUACGUG